UACAGAGGGUGCGAGCGUUGUCCGGAAUCACUGGGCGUAAAGGGCGCGUAGGCGGCUUGAUAAGCGUGCGGCGAAAGCCCGGGGCUCAACCCCGGGUCGGCCGUGCGAACUGUCGAGCUGGAGCACUGUAGAGGCAGGUGGAAUUCCGGGUGUAGCGGUGGAAUGCGUAGAGAUCCGGAAGAACACCGGUGGCGAAGGCGGCCUGCUGGGCAGUGGCUGACGCUGAGGCGCGAAAGCGUGGGGAGCAAACGGG
rnacentral:rRNA from 1 species